UACAGAGGGGGCAAGCGUUGUUCGGAAUUACUGGGCGUAAAGGGCGCGUAGGCGGCCUUCUAAGUCGAACGUGAAAUCCCCGGGCUCAACCCGGGAACUGCGUCCGAUACUGGAAGGCUUGAAUUCGGGAGAGGGAUGCGGAAUUCCAGGUGUAGCGGUGAAAUGCGUAGAUAUCUGGAGGAACACCGGUGGCGAAGGCGGGUCUCUGGGCCGAUACUGACGCUGAGGAGCGAAAGCGUGGGGAGCGAACAGG
rnacentral:rRNA from 1 species